GCCCCAGUGGUGAGUACGUGGCGCGCAUUUGGCCCUUUCAAGGGGAGCGUAUUGCACUUAACUGUGUGGUGCGGGAUCCUUGACUUUUACUUUGAGGAAAUAAGAGUGUUCCAAGCAGGCUCUCGUCGUGCAUAGCUCAGCAUGGAAUAAUAGCAUUGGAUCUCGAUUCCAAACUGUUGGUUGUAGGAAACGAGAUAAUGAUGGAGAGGGAUAGUUGGGGGCAUUCGUAUUUAACUGUCAGAGGUGAAAUUCUUGGAUUUGUUAAAGACGAACUACUGCGAAAGCAUCUGCCAUGGAUGUUUUCAUUGAUCAAGAACGAAAGUUAAGGGAUCGAAGACGAUCAGAUACCGUCCUAGUCUUAACUAUAAACCAUGCCGGCUAGAGAUCGGAGGUUGUUCGUUUUGUGACGCCUUCAGCAUCUUGAGAGAACUCAAAGCCUUUGGGUUCCGGGGGGAGUAUGGUCGCAAGGCUGAAACUUAAAGGAAUUGACGGAAGGGCACCACCAGGAGU
rnacentral:rRNA from 1 species